UGUAUUUCCAGAAGAACAUUUCAUUACACUUUUUUUUUUUUAUUUUUUUAUUUUUUUAAUUAUUAGUUUUCUGCAGGGCUUGACCUGAAAGGACGACAGUUUUGGGAACUCAUGCAGCUUUCAGCCACGUGCAUGAAUGGUGGCCUGUAGCAGUUUAAAAGGGUAAAGCUCAGGAAGCAGCAAGUUUGCUUGGGCUGAAAAGAUCAAACCAUUCAUCACAUUAUGGCCCAUCUGCACUCUCUUCAUGGAGAACAUUCCCUGGUGCUACUUAAGGGCAGGUGCUUUUGAAUAUUAUCUCCAGUAUUUUGUUAUAAAUUUACCAGUGCAGCUACAGUGAGAAACAAUGGUUUCAGACACAGCUGCAAAAUGACUAAAGGAUGAUCCUGAUGCAAACUUCGACAUUUACCAAAAGAAAAAACAAACAAACAAACAAACA